UUAGUGCAAGUAAAUGUAUGACGGUGAAC
rnacentral:sRNA from 1 species